AAUUCCGGCCCUGGCCCGUGGUGGACUAACGUUUUGAACGCGACCGGCGGGUAUCCUUGUACCGAUGCCGCAAGGUAGCGCAAUCACUUGUCCUUUAAAUGGGUGACCUGUAUGAAUGGCACAACGAGGGCUUAACUGAUCUCCCUGCUCCUCGCUCAAUGAAAACUGAAUCUCCCCGUCAAGAAGCGGGGAUUCUACUACUAGACGAGAAGACCCUAUGGAGCGUUGAUAACAAAGGAGGGCCUAUAAAAACCCAACGCACAAUAACACCAGAGUUGUCUAGCCCCCUCCCUAGUUUUUGGUUGGGGCGACCGUGAGAAAAAUAAAAAACCCCCACGGACAAAGGGACUACUAACACCUAAAACCGAGAGCGGCAGCUCUUACUAUCAAAACUUUUGACAGACUAUCCGGCUCAUAACUCCUAUCAACGGACCUAGUUACCCUAGGGAUAACAGCGCACUCCCCUCCCACAGCUCAAAUCGACCAGGGGGUUUACGACCUCGAUGUUGGAUCAAGACAUCCAAAUGGUGCAGCCGCUAUUAAAGGUUCGUUUGUUCAACGAUCAAUAGUCCUACCUGAUCUGAUUUCAAAACCGGUCUUACGUGAUCUGAUUUCAAACCGGAAG
rnacentral:rRNA from 2 species